rnacentral:rRNA from 1 species
CCGCUAUUGGAGUUCGAUUAAGCCAUGCGAGUCGAGAGUCUUAGGGACUCGGCGUACCGCUCAGUAACACGUGGGUAACCUGCCCUAUGCUGGGGAAUAACCUCGGGAAACUGAGAAUAAUGCCCCAUAGUCCACUACGCCUGGAACGGUGAGUGGAUCAAAGCUCCGGCGGCAUAGGAUGGGCCUGCGCCGUAUCAGGUUGUAGGGGGUGUAAAGUACCCUCUAGCCAUCAACGCGUACGGGUGUUGGGAGACAUUGCCCGGAGAUGGAUUCUGAGACACGAUUCCAGACCCUACCGGGUGCAGCAGCGCGAAACUUGGCAAUGCGAGCAUCGUGACCAGGGAACUCAAGUGCUGGGGUAGACCCAAGCUUUUCUUGACUCUYMAAGGUCUGRAUUAGGGGUGGGUAAGGACGGUGCCAGCCGCGCGUAAUACCGGCGCCUCAAGUGGUAGUCGCUUUUAUUGGGCUAAAACGUCCGUAGCCGGUCUGGUGCAUUCGUGGGUAAAUCAACCCGCUCAACGGGUUGAAUUCUGCGAGCACGGCCAGACUUGGGACCCGGGAGAGGUGUGGGGUACUCUCAGGGUAGGGGUAAAAUCCUGUCAUCCUGAGAGGACCACCUGUUGCGAAGGCGCCACACUAGAACGGAUCCGACGGUCAGGGACGAAACCUAGGGGCACGAACCGGAUUAGAUACCCGGGUAGUCCUAGGUGUAAACGCUGUGGACUUGAUGUUGGGGGCGCUCCGAGCGCUUUCAGUGUCGAAGCGAAGGUGAUAAGUCCACUGCCUGGGGAGUACGGUCGCAAGGCUGAAACUUAAAGGAAUUGGCGGGGGAGCACUGCAACCUGAGGAUUGUGCGG